AUGAAUGAAUGGUUAUUCCCAAAUCGUACUGACUGCAAGACUGUUGAAAUGCGGCAAAGCUGGGGUGAUACCUGCAAUAAUAGGGCAACUGGAGCAACCCAGGUGCCUAUUUUAUCUGGCUUCCAAGUCUCUAACGCAGUGGAUUUUUGCUGCUUGAAAGGAAGCAAUUCCUCUGCAGGCCAACAACUGUGCUUCCAGGUAAGGGGGAAAAACAUUUGGCCCCUGUACCCCACUCCCCUGUGCUGCUGCCCCGAGGAAUUGGGUUGUGUCUGUGUCAGUGCUGGUGCAUUCAGUAACUUGACAUCUCCUCUUUGGCUCCUGGUAGUUCAGAAGAGCAAAUAUUGUUGCUAACUGCAUUUUGUGCAGAGCAAAUGACACGAAGCAGCAAGGCUUUUUGUGUGCCUUCUUGGUUUGUAAGGGCUAUAAUUCAUGCAACUUGUGUUUGGUGUGGAAUGACAAGUUAAUGGAAGCGAAUUUCCUCCCAUUUACAAAUCAAACCCUCCGAAUAAACAAUGAGUCAAAUCACAGGGGGCUUGAAAUGCUGCCUUUCUCCCAUGCUCUCUCCUUUCCUGCAUGGUGGGUGCUUUGUGGCAGCAGCUACAUCUCCCCAUUCCUCUCUGAUAAUCCAGGCAGUGCUCAGUAGGCUGCUGGCUUUGACAUCUAGAAGAAUAUUAUAAAAGGAGCAUAGAAAUGGCUUUUAUAUAAAAAAGAAUCACCUCCUUUCCCCCUGCCGUACAUGGUUACAUGCAUGGUUACUGCAUUUUUCAGUGGGGACAAGGUGCUGCUGCAGAGAGUGCAGGGACCCGUGUCAGGUCACAGCCACAGACCCAAGCCCAGGGACCCAGGGACUCUGUUUCUGUUUUUUUUUAUUUUUUUUAUUUUUUUUUUUUUUACAGUUCUUUCUAUUAAGGGUGAGAGUAUUGGGGUCAGACUCCUUUGGGUUUGGUACUCCUUUGGUUUAGAGUACUUUGGUUUGGUUUAGGGUUUAGGGCAAAGCAGAGGGCACUCUGUCCCACACACCUGUGGUCCACGGAGCACAGCCCAGGCUGUGCCCUUGUUGGCAUCUCUAAGGGCUUUAGCUGUGACCAGGUGUGGGGACAUACUGGUGGUUUUGGUCUUUCUGCUUCAUAUUGUUCUGUUUCAUGAUUCAGCAUGCACUUACGGGCUGCCCCGUAUAGACCGCUUACUGAAAUGUACCUUAAAUUUGCUUAGGUUUUUAAGCUUUUUGGGACAGGAGCUCUCUCCUCUGCACAGGGCUGAAUGAGUACUGAGGUUGUGGGACCCACAUUUUGUGUGUGCUCCUUAAAUAGCAAGCAUUUUUGCUAAAAACAGUUGCUCACAAGCACCCAGCAGUUGAUCAGGCUAUUCAGGGAGAUGCAUAAUGUUUGUGUUUGAGCAACAGCACCAUCACCUUAGGAAGAGCCUGGAGUGACCAGGGAAAGGUGUGACGUGCAGACACGGUGCCAGGAGGUACACACCAGGGCACAAGGCUGAUGGCAUCCACAGAGAUGACCCAGCCAGGUGUGUGCACCAGCUCUGCCAUCUCCUCCCUGCCCUGGUAGGGGAAGCGAGCUCAGAAGGCCAGAGAAACCACAGCCCUCGCCUUGUGUGCUCUGCAGCUGCACCUGAAACCAUGACUGUGCAAAUAAACCUUUGCCAGAGGCACGAGGAACAUUCUCAUGGCUGUGGCACUGAAAUAAUGAGAGACUUCCUCAAAUUUAGCUGCGUCUUUGUUGUUGACUUAAGCUGGUAGUGAACACAGGAUGAACAGGGGUGUUGGCACACCAGCGUGCUUGGCAGAAGCUCUGUCUCAUAGUUUAAUUUUAGGCUUGUACCCGGCCUGACAUUUGACACUUGCUGUUAAAUCUCCACCACAUAGUGAUCUCAAUGGGCUGCCAAUCAAAAGGAAGUCAGGAACUGAAUAAUAGCCAUUGCAAGGGGAAAAACCUGCAGAAUAAAGGUGGGAGCUUGCAUUAUAUCUCCUUCCCCUUCUCCAUGCUAUGCCUGAAUCAAACUGAUCUCAGGAAUGCUUUGGACGAUAUGUGGGAACAUUAAAAACAGCAAAACACCCAGAGGUAGAGUGCAGAUAAACCCCUGCGGUUAUUUCCUGAUUUCUCAGCCUGUAGGUGCUUUUAUUCCACAAGUAGAUCGGUUUCUCUUCAGCCAAAGCAUGCCAGAGAGUAUCUCAUGUAGCAGAGAGGUGCUCACGGGGUGCCUUUGCCUCACAAGAAAG
ensembl:lncRNA